AUUCUAGUUAAUGACAUUACCUCAAUAACAUGAAACCUACCUACUUACCUAUACAUCAAGUAACGUUGACUUGACGGUAAAAAUUUGGAUUCAUGACUUCAAGAUUAUGAGAUCAAAUCUCAUUAGGGGUUCUUUGGGAUAAGGUUUACCUUACUAUUCUUCGUCUCUUCAAAGAGUCUAAUUUGCAAAUCUGGCUGAUUAUAUAUGUACGAGGUGACAGUUCAUUACGGUCUUUCAUCGUACCAACUUUUAGAAAUAUAAAAAUGAAAACAUACGUAUAUAACACUUUCAAUUGCUUCGAGUUUUUCACAACAGUUUACUAGACUCCAUUAUAGUCUCUGCAAUACCGUUUGCAAUAACAUGAACAUGAAGUUCUCAAUCCCCAAACAAUCUUCUUCUUCAAAACCUAAACUCUCACAAAAUUCCACCGAUUCUUCGCAAAAACUCCAAAUCAAUCACGAAUUUCUCACCGAAUUCGACCCUUCCAAAACCCCAAUCGAAAAUUCCGCCCCAAAAAAGCUCAUAAUCCCUCCAAAGGAAAACGAAUGGCGUCCCACCAAGAAGAUGAAGAAUCUCGAACUUCCCCCAAUUCAUUCCGGCGGAAAACCCCUAGAAUUUGAGAUCGAAUCGGAAGUUACGGGCCCCGCAUCAUCUGGGUCGGGUAUUUCGUACGGGCUUAAUGUCCGGCAACCCGGUAUCAAUGGUAAGGAGUUUGAUCCCAAUAUCCCUAAUUCAAUUGAUACGAUUAUGCUGAAGAAAUUGAGAACUGAUUUAGAUAGGUUGCCUGAAGAUGAGGGUUUUGAUCAAUUUCAAGAGGUUCCUGUUGAGGGUUUUGGGGCUGCAUUGUUGGCUGGGUAUGGGUGGAAAGAAGGAAUGGGGAUUGGGAAGAAUGCUAAGGAGGAUGUCAAGGUGGUUGAGUAUAAGCGAAAGGCGGCGAAAGAGGGGUUAGGGUUUGAUUCUGAGGUUGGGAUUCCAUCGAAAAAAGAUAAUGGGAGUAAUAGGAGUGGAGAGAAAGAGGGGAAUGGUGGAAAUUUGAGGUUUGGGGUUGGGAAGGAGGUUAGGAUUAUUGGUGGGAGAGAGAUGGGGUUGAAGGGUAGAGUUAUAGAGGUGUCACCGGGAGGUGAAUUGCUCGUAUUGAAGCUUUCGCGGAGUGAAAAGGAAGUGAAGGUUCGUGCAAGUGAGGUCGCGGAGUUAGGUUCUUUGGAGGAAGAUAAGUGUUUGAAGAAGUUGAAGGAGUUAGAGAUUCAAGGUUCUAAGGAAGAUAUGAGGGGAAGGGUUAAGAAGGGUAAGGAUUUGUCGAGUGAAAGGAAGGAGAGUAAGAAAGAUAAAGAUGAGGGUAGAAGAGUUAGGGAAGAAAGGGUGCAGGUGAAUGAGAACAGGAGUAGUAGUAGUGUUCCUUGGCUUAUGAGUCAUAUUAGGGUAAGAAUUAUUAGCAAGUCUUUUAAAGGAGGAAGGUUUUACUUGAAGAAGGGUGAAGUAAUUGAUGUUGUUGGACCUACGACCUGUGAUAUAUCGAUGGACGAUGGUAAGGAGAUUGUUCAGGGAGUAGAACAGGAUAUGUUGGAAACGGCACUUCCUAGGCGAGGUGGCCAUGUUCUCGUUCUCUUUGGAAAGCAUAAGGGGGCAUAUGGCAGUCUUGUGGAGAAGGAUACAGAGAGGGAAGCUGGUGUAGUUCAAGAUGCUGAUACAAGGGAGCUGCUCCGUGUGCGGCUGGAACAAAUUGCUGAAUUUCUUGGGGACCCAAGCUAUAUUGGAUAUUGAUUACGAACGCUGUAUUGAACCAGUAUGCCAAGGAAGUAUAAUUAGUUUCCAAAUUGCUCCUCUGUUCGAGAGUUGGUGGUGACAGCACUGCAGUUUGAGAUGAGAGAGUCUCCGCAAGUAGUCCACUGGCUAGUGGCUACUGCUGGAAUAUUGCAGGGAUCUCUUCCAUCAGAUGAUACUUUUGAAUGUUCUGAUUCUGGUGCAUCAGAUGAUGCUGUUAGCAGUGGAAAAACAAACCAUGCAAUGAUAGUUGAUACUUGAUAGUAGUCUUUAUUUUGAGUGUAUAUUUUCCAUGUGUACACUAGCAGAGGGUUCAGCACCUUGCUUUGCAAGACUUAGGCGGGGAGUUCUCUCUUUUAUUGGAACUAAACAGGUUGCUGCAAUACCCAUAAGGCUCUUCACAAGUAGUGCUAUUGCUCGGCCAGGCAAACCUAUCUCUUCUGCUGGUGUGAGACUUUCUGGACUAGCUUGUCAUCAUCAUAGUUUGAUAUGAGUUCAGGUCAUCUCCGAUUGACGUUUAGAACUCCCCUGUACCUGCCUUUUCUAGAGCAGUUUGCUUGAUGAGAAAGAGAAGAGUUUCGAACACAACUGGUUAGCUCUUUAGAUAUUGGCCAUGAGCAGUCUUCUUCAUGACCAACCAUAUAUCAUUGGAGUCGUGGGCAUUUAUCAAAACCUCUUCUCACGACAUCAGAUGGUAGUGAAUGAUUAAAUAGCCAAAAGGGAAGCAAAGCUUCAAAGGCUGCUUGUGAUGUACUUGGAGGCCAAUUUUGGUUUGUUGAUGGAUCUGUCAGAAUCUCUGACAUCAAAGCACCUGAAAAGUGAUCUGGGCCUUGGCUUGUUUAUACUACCAAGCUGCAUAUUCACAGAGUCGAAAGAGUGAAUCGGUUUUCACCCAGGGUUAGAUGUGGCUAAGGUGCACGAGUACUUUGCCAGUCACACUUGAAAUUAUAUACAUGAAAACUCUUAUCCUCACUGCAUCUCAGGCUAGUGACAUACAGUUCCUAGAUGCUAGAAAUCGCAGCAAUGCAUACCUCACAAUCGAUGCCCAUAGGGGCUGAUUCACAGCCCUGGCAGUUCUUUGGCAUGCUCCAAGAGUCUAAUCAUAGCCAGUGGUUCUGUAAAGCAGCUUAUUUAAGUACCUUAUCAAGUGCUGCUCGGCGCUUGCUGCGGGUGCUGCCAAUUCUUUUGUUACCUUUUGUGCUGAUGACUAUAUGUUGAAGCCAAAGACUAUGGUUUUGCUUAAGAUUCAACAUGUUGCAAAGUGAUUGAGGUUCAUGUAGAAGUUGCAAUGAUGUGGGUUUCUCAGGAGAUUCUUUGAGAAUGAAUUGCAAAAGUUGUCAUUUGAUUUUAUACUAAGAUAUUUGUCUAAUAAGUUGGAAAAAAGUGCCUUGUAUAAUAAGGAGGGAGGAAUGCUUAUCCUUCCACAAUUUGCAGAGGGAGGUGUCAGGUGUAUUAUAUUGUAUGAUCAACAAAAUAUGGUAUAAAACACGGGAUGAUCAAUAUGAAAAAACGAUCAGAAUUGUCAAUACUUUCCCCGUUUCGAAUUAAAUGCAACAAUUCCACUUUUUUGCUA